rnacentral:other from 3 species
CAUUCCCUGCGGUGCGCGUGGCUUUAGAGCGAAAAAUAUUGAGCCAACAUUGAUUUACUAUGGGAGCCUAACUGCGCCGAUACCUUGGUAUUGGUUCGAGGGCGCCCACCUGUACAUAACAGGGUCAAUAUGAUUCGGACUCACACGGCAUCCGCGGGGAUUUU